UGGGGAAUAUUGCACAAUGGGCGCAAGCCUGAUGCAGCCAUGCCGCGUGUGUGAAGAAGGCCUUCGGGUUGUAAAGCACUUUCAGCGAGGAGGAAGGUGGGUGAGCUUAAUACGCUCAUCAAUUGACGUUACUCGCAGAAGAAGCACCGGCUAACUCCGUGCCAGCAGCCGCGGUAAUACGGAGGGUGCAAGCGUUAAUCGGAAUUACUGGGCGUAAAGCGCACGCAGGCGGUUUGUUAAGUCAGAUGUGAAAUCCCCGGGCUCAACCUGGGAACUGCAUUUGAAACUGGCAAGCUAGAGUCUCGUAGAGGGGGGUANAAUUCCAGGUGUAGCGGUGAAAUGCGUAGAGAUCUGGAGGAAUACCGGUGGCGAAGGCGGCCCCCCUGGACGAAGACUGANG
rnacentral:rRNA from 1 species